GUGGGGAAUAUUGGACAAUGGGCGCAAGCCUGAUCCAGCCAUGCCGCGUGUGUGAAGAAGGCCUUUUGGUUGUAAAGCACUUUAAGCGAGGAGGAGGCUACUGAGAUUAAUACUCUUGGAUAGUGGACGUUACUCGCAGAAUAAGCACCGGCUAACUCUGUGCCAGCAGCCGCGGUAAUACAGAGGGUGCGAGCGUUAAUCGGAUUUACUGGGCGUAAAGCGUGCGUAGGCGGCUUUUUAAGUCGGAUGUGAAAUCCCUGAGCUUAACUUAGGAAUUGCAUUCGAUACUGGGAAGCUAGAGUAUGGGGGAGGAUGGUAGAAUUCCAGGUGUAGCGGUGAAAUGCGUAGAGAUCUGGAGGAAUACCGAUGGCGAAGGCAGCCAUCUGGCCUAAUACUGACGCUGAGGUACGAAAGCAUGGGGAGCAAACAGGAUUAGAAACCCCUGUAGUCC
rnacentral:rRNA from 1 species